CCGGAAGAGCAGGAUGGCGGCGCGGGACAGUGACAGCGAAGAAGAUCUGGUCAGCUAUGGGACCGGGCUGGAGCCUCUGGAAGAAGGUGAAAGACCAAAGAAACCAAUCCCUCUUCAGGAUCAGACUGUCAGAGAUGAAAAAGGAAGGUAUAAACGAUUCCACGGGGCCUUUAGUGGAGGUUUCUCUGCUGGAUACUUCAAUACUGUUGGCUCAAAAGAAGGAUGGACACCCUCUACCUUUGUGUCUUCACGACAGAACAGAGCAGACAAAUCUGUUCUUGGUCCUGAAGAUUUUAUGGAUGAAGAGGAUCUUAGUGAAUUUGGGAUAGCACCUAAAGCGAUUGUCACCACAGACGAUUUUGCCUCCAAAACCAAAGACAGAAUACGAGAAAAGGCUAGGCAGUUGGCCGCUGCUACUGCCCCUAUUCCUGGAGCCACCCUCCUUGAUGACCUCAUAACGCCAGCAAAAUUAUCUGUUGGUUUCGAAUUGCUAAGAAAAAUGGGUUGGAAAGAAGGACAAGGAGUUGGUCCUCGAGUAAAGAGACGGCCACGCCGACAGAAACCUGAUCCUGGAGUCAAAAUCUAUGGCUGUGCAUUACCCCCUGGAAGCUCGGAAGGAUCUGAGGGUGAAGAUGAUGACUACUUGCCUGAUAAUGUGACCUUUGCACCCAAAGAUGUCACACCUGUGGAUUUCACACCUAAAGAUAAUGUGCAUGGUCUAGCUUACAAGGGCCUGGAUCCCCACCAGGCACUGUUUGGAACUUCGGGAGAACAUUUUAAUCUUUUCAGUGGUGGUUCUGAGAGAGCUGGCGAUCUUGGAGAAAUUGGACUGAAUAAAGGAAGAAAAUUGGGAAUUUCAGGCCAGGCUUUUGGUGUAGGUGCCCUGGAAGAGGAAGAUGAUGAUAUCUAUGCCACAGAAACUCUAUCCAAGUAUGACACUGUUCUGAAGGACGAGGAGCCUGGAGACGGACUCUAUGGCUGGACAGCACCCAGGCAGUAUAAAAACCAGAAAGAAUCAGAGAAAGACCUUCGGUACGUUGGCAAAAUUUUGGAUGGAUUUUCCUUGGCUUCUAAACCUUUAUCUUCUAAGAAAAUCUAUCCACCUCCAGAGCUGCCAAGAGACUAUCGACCAGUGCAUUAUUUCAGACCCAUGGUGGCCGCCACCUCCGAGAACUCACACUUACUGCAGGUAUUAUCAGAGUCAGCUGGAAAGGCAACGCCUGACCCAGGGACACACAGUAAGCACCAACUGAAUGCCUCCAAACGGGCUGAGUUGCUUGGAGAGACGCCUAUUCAAGGUUCAGCUACUUCAGUGUUAGAAUUUCUGUCCCAAAAAGACAAAGAGAGAAUCAAAGAAAUGAAGCAGGCAACUGACCUGAAAGCAGCUCAGCUCAAGGCCAGGAGUCUGGCCCAGAACGCUCAGAGCAGCAGAGCCCAGCUCUCCCCUGCAGCGGCUGCUGGGCACUGCUCUUGGAACAUGGCAUUAGGUGGUGGGACGGCCACCUUAAAAGCCAGCAACUUCAAGCCUUUCGCCAAAGAUCCGGAAAAGCAAAAGCGAUACGACGAGUUCUUAGUACACAUGAAACAGGGUCAGAAAGAUGCUCUGGAACGCUGUCUGGACCCCAGCAUGACAGAGUGGGAGCGAGGCCGUGAGCGGGAUGAGUUUGCCCGGGCGGCCCUGCUGUACGCAUCUUCCCAUUCGACCUUGUCCUCCAGGUUCACUCACGCCAAGGAGGAGGAUGACUCAGAUCAGGUUGAAGUCCCUCGAGACCAAGAGAAUGAUGUCGGGGAUAAGCAGUCGGCUGUGAAGAUGAAGAUGUUUGGGAAGCUCACCCGAGACACGUUUGAGUGGCACCCUGACAAGCUUCUAUGUAAGAGAUUUAAUGUCCCUGACCCUUAUCCAGAUUCAACUUUAGUUGGCUUACCAAGAGUGAAGCGUGACAAGUACUCAGUCUUCAACUUUCUGACGCUCCCAGAGACAGCUUCCUUGCCCACCACUCAAGCAUCAAGUGAAAAAGUAUCACAGCACCGAGGUCCCGACAAAUCAAGAAAACCAUCCAGAUGGGAUACCUCUAAACACGAAAAGAAAGAAGAUUCCAUUAGUGAAUUUUUAAGUUUGGCUAGAUCAAAAGCCGAGCCACCUAAACAACAGUCCAGCCCCUUAGUAAACAAAGAGGAAGAGCAUGCACCAGAAUUAUCCGCAAAUCAGGCCUCCCAAAGUGCUGGAAUUACAGGGGUGAGCCACCACGCCUGGCCCGGUUUUGCUUCUUUGACCUCAUCAGCACAUUGUACAGUUGUUGACUCGGAAACACCACAAAAAUAGAAGCUAUACCGUCAACAAAGAUGUGGACGCACAGGCUGAAGGAGAAGGGAGCCGCCCAUCCAUGGACUUAUUCAGGGCCAUCUUUGCCAGUUCCUCAGAUGAAAAGUCCUCAUCCUCCGAGGAUGAGCAAGGUGACAGUGAAGAUGAUCAGGCAGGCUCUGGGGAGGCCAACUUCCAAAGCUCCCAAGACACUGACUUGGGGGAAACAUCAUCUGUGGCUCACGCUCUUGUGCCAGCACCCCAGGAGCCGCCACCUUCCUUCCCGAUACAAAAGAUGCAGAUAGAUGAAAGAGAAGAGUUCGGCCCGCGGCUGCCUCCCGUCUUCUGCCCCAAUGCUCGUCAGACACUUGAGGUUCCUCAAAAAGAGAAACAUAAAAAGAACAAAGACAAGCACAAGGCCAAGAAAGAGCACAGGCGGAAGAAAGAGAAGAAAAAGAAACACAGGAAGCACAAACACAAAGGCAAGCAAAAGAAUAAAAAACCAGAGAAAAGUAGUAGCUCCGAGAGUUCCGACAGCAGCGACAGCCAGAGUGACGAGGAAACCGCAGACGUGUCGCCCCAGGAGCUGCUGAGACGGCUGAAAAGUCUUCCACUAAGAAGGCAGUAAUUGAAUGCUGCCCUGGCUCGUCCUAGAAUCAUUUCUCCUCCAUGAUGGAAGCCCAGUGAUUGUUCAGUUAACGCAUUGUACAGAGUGUAUUUAUAUGUAAAUUCCUGCUGUAAAAUAAUUUUUAAAACCUUGACAUUUCAAAGACUGCCUUGAAAGGUCGCAGAAAUUGAUUUCUAUUUUUAAUUUCAGUUAGUAUCGGGGGAAAAAAAUCCAGACUGAACAGUUUAAUUAAAGUGGAAUUUUUCUAUUUUCUUCUUGAUUUUUAAAAAAUUUCCUGGGACGUUAAAAAAGAAGUUAAAAGUGAAGGCUUCUCUCUGGUUUUGUGAUGAAGACAGCCUGGACUCACUGAAGGACAAGCGUGUGAGAAGGGGCGGUUGCGGCC